rnacentral:rRNA from 1 species
AGCUCCAAUAGCGUAUAUUAAAGUUGUUGCAGUUAAAAAGCUCGUAGUUGGAUUUCUGAUAUUUUGUUUUGCCCAUCUUGAUCACCACGUGUGGUUGUUGGAUUAAAGCAAAUGUCAUCCUCGCCUAAUUAAAUUUGAUAUGUGCAUUCCUGACGGUUUGUUUUCGUGUCAAAUGGGCGUCAUUUACUGUGAAAAAAUUAGAGUGUUCAAAGCAAGUUUAUUUUAAUCUUGAAUACAUUAGCAUGGAAUAAUAAGAUAGGACUUUGGUACUAUUUUGUUGGUUUGCAUACCUUAGUAAUGAUUAACAGGAACAUAUUGGGGAUAUCUGUAUUUUUUAGUCAGAGGUGAAAUUCUUGGAUUUAAGAAAGACAAACUACAGCGAAAGCAUUUAUCAAGGAUGUUUUCA